UAAAUUAAGUUAGAUAAAUUUCAGAAUGAAAUAAAAUGCCACAUUUGCCUGCUGGUGGAGAAAAGAACAAAGCUUCUGAGGCGGAGAAAAAUCCGCCAGAAUCAGAUCAGGAAAAUCCACGAUUACAGUCGGCGGAUGCAGCCCCUGAACCAGAUAUACAAGACGAAUAUCUUGUUGAAAAUGUCCGACCAGUGUUCCUAGGUCGGACCCUUUCCGCCGGGACGAAUGAUGGAUUGGCGCCAUCCGGAAAAACACAACUGCCCCCUAUCAGGGCGAAUACAUUGCCUGCUAGUGGGGCGGAAUCUAAUUUUAGUGAACCUUUGAUAGUAAAGUUACCCGUGACCAGUGGUGAUCAUAAAACCAGUUUUGCCAGAAACGUCAUCGAUGAUGAUGUUUUCUCAGCUGAUACAAAUAGCACGUCUAGUACAAUUAGUGCACUUAGUGGAUUGAGUGCUAAUGAUCUAAAAGAGGAUAUUGACGCGUCCUCUAAUCUCCAGCCUCCGAUUUCGGCCAUAAAUCCCAUCUUUGCCUCCCAUCCUCCUCUAUCCAAAACUAGCAGCCAUCCCAUCCAUCCCAUCACACAGACGGGGGCCCUCGCCCCUCCCAGCGAAGAGGUUCGAGGGCGCAGUUUGCCGCGUAAUGCAGAAGCUCCUCCUACUUCGUUUCCAAGCCCUAUCCCACACUUUAAAAAGUUCACUGACCCGAAGGCCACAAAAAGUAUAUUUUACGAUGACACCAUGACCUCCCCCUUCCAUAAGUCCGUUAAUAACGUCAAGACUCACACGAGGUCGGUCAGCCAUGGAGGUGUUCAUUUCAGAACCCCCUCCUUGAGAGAGCGCGAAGCGGCCGCCGCGGCAGCAGCAGGAGGAGGAACACAGUUCAGUCAGAAUCUACAAAACCAGAAACUAACCUCAGCGCUGAAAAAGCCCGGUCAUAGGCGUGUAUUCUCUCAAGGAGGAGUGGGUAAUCAGGAACCUUAUAAACCAGGGCAUACAAGGAAUGGAAGCAGAACUGAUUUUUUACUUCCCCCCGAUCAUGAGGAGAGAGAAAGAAAGAAAGUUAAUCCUAUAAAUCCUUCAAGGCCUGGGUCUCACAAACGUAAUCACUCAAGAACUGAUAGCAUAACAGGCUUUUUUAGAGGCCAUAGUAGACAGAAUUCAAGAAGCGACUCCAUUUACACUCUAAGACAAACAACAACUAACUACAAGAAAAAAGUAUUUUUCUGGAAUAAACCUGUUCCAGCUGUUGAAAUAGAAAGGAAACAUAGAACAGUUGUUCCUAAUCAUCUUGUUCCAGGCUCACCAAAGGAUACUGAACAUCCAAAUCACUCUUUCCUCUCGAACAAGAUUCGAACCACUAAGUACACCUUCCUCUCCUUCCUACCAAAGAACUUGUUUGAGCAGUUUCACAGGUUUGCGAACCUGUAUUUCCUGUUCAUUGUUCUAUUGAACUGGGUUCCUGCCAUCAACGCUUUCGGAAAAGAGAUCAGCAUGCUUCCAGUUAUCCUGGUUCUAGUAGUUACUGCAAUCAAGGAUUUGUUUGAGGAUCGGCGACGAUUAACUUCAGACCAAAGAGUCAACAACUCGACUUGCAGAGUAUUUAACCAUCAAGAGAGUAGAUAUGAGGCUAAAUAUUGGAAGGAUAUUCGCACUGGGGAUAUAGUUCAUUUGUCGAACAAUGAGCAGAUUCCAGCCGACAUUCUUCUUCUUCAUUCAAGUGAUGCCUCUGGACUUUGUUUUAUUGAUACACAGAAUCUUGACGGUGAAACUAACUUGAAACAAAGAGAGAUACCGAGAGGACUUAAACUUGGAACUGGACCUAAUCUAGAUGUUCAAGAGCUACGAUGUAAUCUAGAAUGUGAUGCUCCAACUACUAAAAUAUAUAGAUUCCACGGCAGCUUAGUUCAACCAUGGGGAGAGCGAAUACCUGUUGGUAAAGAUAAUCUGAUCCUACGAGAGUGUAUGCUCAAGAAUACAGACUAUGUUGAGGGUCUUGUUGUAUAUGCAGGACAUGAAUCUAAGGCUAUGCUGAACAAUGGUGGUCCUCGAUAUAAGCGCUCUAAACUCGAGAGACAAAUCAACUCCGAGGUUCUAUACUGUGUAUUUAUUCUCUUCGGACUCUGCCUUAUUGGAGCAGUAGGCGCUGGUUUGUGGAUUAACUCCUUCAAUGUGACAGCUCCAUUUCUUGCAAUACUGGAGAUAAUGGAUGUAAACCCGUUGUGGGACGGGUUCCUUGCUUUCUGGACUUUCAUUAUCAUUCUUCAGAUUAUCAUCCCUCUCUCAUUAUAUGUUACCAUUGAGCUAACUAAACUCUCACAGGUUUAUUUAAUUCACAAUGAUCCCCUCUUAUACGAUCCUGUCCACGAGAAGCGCGUGGAAUGCCGCGCUCUCAAUAUUCCCGAGGAACUGGGACAAGUGCAGUACAUGUUCUGUGAUAAGACUGGUACAUUAACAGAAAAUAAGAUGGUGUUUAAGCGUUGUAGUAUAAAUGGUCAGGACUUCGGGCAUAAUAGUUUCUCUCAUCCAGGCAGUUCAAGGGCAAUAAUCCCCACAAAUCCUAAGCUAGCUGAGUACCUGAAUACUUUAGAGAUUGGGGCUUUAGUUGACUCCACCACUCCACCCUCACAGGGUUCCCUGCUCGUACAAGAAUUCUUUCUAUUAUUAGCUGUGUGCAAUACGGUCAUAGUGGCGAACAAACCUCACAGGGAUACAAUGAAUGCAAACGGAGUCAUACAAAGUAACCCAGGAACGGCGAACUCAUCGCUUCGGCGUCCUAAGCGGAAUUCAUUAAUUGCUCCGCCUUCCGCCCUUGCUUCAUCAUGUGCCACGCCCAUUCAGGCAUCACGUGAAUCCUCUCCCUCCCCGCCUCCCUCCCUAGUAUCUACAGUGUCAUCUACAGCUGGUCUAACCACUCCUCCUGGUUCCCAGCCAGUCCGGCGACCAAAGUUUUUAGAUUUUCUACCUGCCGGUGCUCGGCCCCUCUCCCCUAUACAAUCCAGCCCGGAGACAAGUCCAGCUGAUUCACCAGCUUCCGGUCACAGAUCAUUAAGAUUAUCUACUAUGUUGAAUCCUAUCUCUAAACUUACUUCCUAUUAUUCCAAUUCAUCACUCAGCAAAGUUAGCCGUUCAUCUGUUCCUGCCGGGGAGAUUCGGCCAAUAUUUGAGGCAGAAUCCCCUGACGAACUGGCACUGGUUGACGCAGCAUUUGCGUACAAUUGUAAACUGAUAAAGCGUACACCAGGGCAGUUGACGGUGUCCCUGCCAGGGGACGGAGAAGUAGAGUUUAAGAUCCUGCAUAUUCUACCGUUUGACUCUGUCCGUAAACGAAUGGGUGUAGUUCUACUGAAUCCUAAGACAGGGAAGAAAACACUGUACUGCAAGGGGGCAGAUAGCAAUAUGUUUCCCAGAAUAUCCAGACCUAAAUCUCAGGAGGAGGAGGCGUUGUUGGAGUCUACUAAGAACCACCUGGAUGUUUACAGUCAGCAGGGUCUCAGGGUCCUAGUGAUGGCCUCCAGGGAGCUCGGGGACCCAGAGUACGAGGACUGGUUGGAGCAGCACAAAAAGGCGGAGAAUGCUCUGGAGCGGCGUGAAAAGCUUCUGAUGGAGUCAUACAACUCGAUAGAAAAUAAGAUGAAGCUUCUGGGAGCUACAGGAAUAGAAGAUAAAUUGCAGGAAGGAGUACCAGACGCAAUAUUCAGAAUUAGACAGGCUGGUGUGGUUGUAUGGGUACUGACCGGGGAUAAACAGGAAACUGCGAUAAAUAUAGCAUUCAGCUGCAGAUUAUUCACACAGAAUAUGGAGAUUAUCAAACUAAAUUCUAGAAGUAGAGACGCUGCUGAAUCAUCAAUCAGGAACUACCUGGACCAGGCUAAGCACUCAACGCGCACCCGGGAUAAGCGUGCACUUGUAGUUGACGGGAAAACUUUGGUUUAUAUUCUGGACAAACGAGCAAAUAUCCAGGAACUGUUCCUGCAGCUGACUGAGCAGUGUUGUGCAGUGCUAGGGUGUCGAGCUACUCCUCUACAGAAAGCCUAUAUUGUCAGGAUUGUCAAGGAAGAGUUAAAAAUGCAUACUCUUGCUAUAGGAGAUGGAGCUAAUGAUGUAUCAAUGAUACAGACUGCUGACAUUGGAGUUGGAAUCUCCGGCCAGGAGGGAAUGCAGGCUGUCAUGGCGGCAGAUUUUGCAGUUUCAAGAUUUCGGUUUAUUGAGCGGUUACUGUUAGUUCAUGGACACUGGAGUUAUGACAGACUGGGUCGGAUGGUGUUGCACUUUUUCUUCAAAAAUGCAACUUUUGUCUUUGUAUGUUUCUGGUACCAGCUGUUCUGUGGCUGGUCAGGUCAAGUUAUGAUUGACCAGAUGUACUUGAUGCUGUUCAAUCUUCUGUUCACCUCCCUGCCUCCUGUGGCAGUAGGCGUGUUCGAUAGGAACGCCCCCGCGGACCUCCUUACUUCACAGCCUAAGCUCUACAGUGUUGGCAGGUUGAGUACUGUGUAUAAACCCUAUAGUUUCUGGAUCAAUAUGGCUGAAGCACUUUAUACAUCAAUUCUUCUCUUCUUCAUUGCAUUUGGAGUGUAUACAGGUAGUAGUAUAGGAGUAUGGGAGUUUGGAACUCUAAUCUGCUCCCAGUGUAUUCUGGUGAUGCUUAUACAACUAGGAGUAGAAACGAAAUCAUGGACUGUUGUUCACUGGCUGGCCAUGAUUACGUCUGUAGGUUUAUACCUUGCCUUUGGUCUCAUUUACAAUGCUGUCUGUAGUGAAUGUGAAGGAUUAACGAACCCGUAUCUUGUAAUGCAGCAUGCCAUGUCUGAUCCUAAACACUACCUAGUUCUUCUUAUAACUGGAGUAGUUUCUGCGUUGCCCAGGGUCUUUGGGAGAGUUAUACAGAAUACAUUCAAUCCAUCGGAUGUUAUAAUAGCUGUCAAACAGAGACGGUUUGCCAGGGAUGAGGAGAAGAAAGUAGCUAAAGCAGCUUCUAAUCAAGCUCAAGCUGGAUUCAAUAGAUUUUACAGAUCCCCAAGUGUUGAACAGAAUGCAACAGCAGCCUCCACAACCACUGUCGAGAUGACCAACAUGUAGCCUUAGGACAACAUUAUUCAGUGUACUUCAGCCAAGACUAAUGUUCAAGCAUUUAUUUGAAAAAUAAGAUGGCCGAUAACUAAACUAGAUUGCCGACCAUUUAACAAGAUGGCAGACCAUUUAGCAAGAUGGCCGACCAUUUAACAAGAUGGCAGACCAUUUAUCAAGAUGGCCAACAAUUAUUUCUCAUUUCUCAUUUUCUUGCCGUCAUAGAUGUAGUUUAACGAUGGCACGACCAAAGCCAAGUCCAAUAUUUAGCCAACAAAGUUUCUGAUGUCCAUAUUACCACUUCCAAAUUCUCUUGACCAAUGACCAAUGGUCUCGGAUUUCUAAACUUUCCGCGCCAUUACAAAUACUAACCCACGACCUAACUACAGUACUUAGGUUUACGUAGUUUCUUAUUAGUAUUUUAUUUUUUCAGAUAAAAAGGUUGUUUCAUCCACGCCAACUAAUAACUAGAAAUUUUUACGGUGAGCAGAUCAUUAUUAUGUUAAUUGUACAAAUGCUUGUGCCAUGAGCAAUUAUUGUUUUUUUUGGCUACUCUGUUGCUCUACCCACUUUAAAUAUUUCGGUUCCCUGAAGAAGAAAUUAUUAUUUGAAUUUAUUAAUCAAGAUUUUUUUUCUUUGUCAGACUCAUGUGAGCAGAAUUAACAUUUUUCUCUUAAAGUCGUCUGCAAUGUCAACCAAAUAUUUGCCAAAGUAUGUCUUUACUUCAGAUAAAAUGACUAAAGCUCAACACUUAAUGAUAGAACUGAAUAUAAAAGCUCUAAUUUAAAAGAAUUUUAUGCCAAAUAUUGUAUUAUCGCGCUAAUCUUUUGUAUUUAGAUAUUCGACAUACUAGAUCAUUAUUUAUAUCAAUUUUUCAUUUUGUAUUGUUGUAUUUAAUUUAAUUUUGCUUUUAGAAGAUAUGUAUUUAUAUCAUGAUUUAGGAAUUAAACAUUUAGUAAUUAUAUUAUCAUUUGUAUAGCUGGUUCAAACUGGACCCAGGGACCGAAAUUAAUGAAUUGGUGAGGUCGCUGAAUUUCCUACUAGUGCACCGGUUCAAAUCCUGAAUCACCGAUUCAAUAACCCAUGAGUAUUCAUGAAUAAAUUGAUGAGUGGUCUGGCAGGAUUUGAACCGGUGGUAGGGAGUGCAACGACUUCAAGAAAUUCUUUAAUUCCGGUCCGUCUUGUAAUUAAAUUGAUCUUUUUAUUGUAGCAAUUAUUAUCACGAAAGCAUAUAAAGUAUACUCUAAAUUUUUUUAUUUUUUAUUAUUGAAAGUCUACGGGUUUUUGAAGCCAUUAGAAAAUUGUCCAUCACGCUCAACUGAAGAAUCUGAUAGAAUUAUGAAUAUCAAUUGUAAACCUCCCCUCCCCCCCACCUCUUUCUCUUUGCGCAUCUGUCCCUUUUUACUACUUCCGGAAAAGGGAAGUAAACUUCCGGUAAAUGGAAGUAAAAGGGAAAAAAUAAGAUUGAAUAUGUUUCUUACCAAUACAAUCCUUACCUGUGAUGGCCAGCUUACCAUUUCAUUUCGUCAAGGAUUGUGUUUUUAAGAAAAAAUAUUAUUUCUAUGUUUCAAACUGUUAUGCGUAUGCCUAAUUAAAUUACUGUACAUCACUGUUAACUCUGUUUAUAAUAUCUUGUUGUAUAGUUCUCAAGUAAUUAUACUUUGAAUUGUAAAUCUGUGAUAAAUUUACAAUAUUUU
rnacentral:misc_RNA from 1 species